rnacentral:rRNA from 1 species
CGGCGGACGGGUGAGUAAUGCCUAGGAAUCUGCCUGGUAGUGGGGGACAACGUUUCGAAAGGAACGCUAAUACCGCAUACGUCCUACGGGAGAAAGCAGGGACCUUCGGGCCUUGCGCUAUCAGAUGAGCCUAGGUCGGAUUAGCUAGUCGGUGAGGUAAUGGCUCACCAAGGCGACGAUCCGUAACUGGUCUGAGAGGAUGAUCAGUCACACUGGAACUGAGACACGGUCCAGACUCCUACGGGAGGCAGCAGUC